GUUGACCUCUAGAUUUCAGCAUGCAAACACAUGGGAUUUCAGGUUGUGAGUUCCACUCGACACUUGAGCUCCAGUGCCUCAGUUGUGAAGUGGAGAAAGGAACAGGGACCACCAUCACAUCCCACACAGCUAUCGUGGUCAGCAGACCCUGAAAUCCUAGAUGACUCGACAGCUUUGUAUUCAGCAUGAAACUGGACUGUGUGCAUGAAAGCCUAAGGGAAGAUGUGGAAUCCCGUGGAAGUUAAGAUGGUGUUUGGGAGCUCUUCAAACGAGGCUGUUUUCCUGUCAGAGCCACAGGUGGCAAUGAAAAUCAGUGCCAUUGUGCAAAGUUUCCUGAAAGGACAUGUCCCACCCGUUACUGGAAAAGAAAGAAUUAUCCAGCUUAUGUUUACUAGAGGUGUUAUAUAUAUAUCCCCAAAUCAAUUUUAAGUGUAUCCCUCAAUGCAUUAAAGAUUUAGAGAGGCU
rnacentral:lncRNA from 1 species